AUGGCGGAGGAGACAGGGAAGGCGGAGGCGUCGGCCGGGGCUGCGAGCUGCGGCGCCGGCGGCGGGUGCGAGGCGGUGAAGAAGAGGGCGGAGCAGAGUGUGGCGUUCCAUGAGCUGUUCAGCUUCGCCGACCCGCUCGACUGGCUGCUCAUGGCGGCGGGGAGCGCCGGCGCCGUCGUGCACGGCGCCGCCAUGCCGGUGUUCUUCCUCCUGUUCGGCGAGCUGGUCAACGGCUUCGGCAAGAACCAGCACCACCUCCGCCGCAUGACCGACGAGGUGUCCAAGUACUCGCUCUAUUUCGUCUACCUCGGCCUCGUCGUCUGCGCAUCCUCGUACCUGGAGAUCGCGUGCUGGAUGUACACGGGCGAGCGCCAGGUGGGCGCGCUCCGGCGGCGGUACCUGGAGGCCGUGCUGCGGCAGGACGUGGGCUUCUUCGACACCGACGCGCGCACCGGGGACGUCGUAUUCAGCGUCUCCACGGACACGCUCCUCGUCCAGGACGCCAUCGGCGAGAAGGUCGGCAACUUCAUCCACUACCUCGCGACGUUCCUGGCAGGGCUCGUGGUCGGGUUCGUCUCCGCCUGGCGGCUGGCGCUUCUCAGCAUCGCCGUCAUCCCGGGCAUCGCGUUCGCCGGCGGGCUCUACGCGUACACCCUCACCGGGCUCACCUCCAAGAGCCGGGACUCGUACGCCAACGCCGGAAUCAUAGCCGAGCAGGCGAUUGCCCAAGUGAGGACGGUCUACUCCUACGUGGGGGAGUCCAAGGCCCUGAAUUCCUACUCGGAGGCGAUUCAGAGCACCCUGAAGCUGGGGUACAAGGCCGGGAUGGCCAAGGGGCUUGGCAUUGGGUGUACCUAUGGGAUUGCCUGCAUGUCAUGGGCGCUGGUGUUCUGGUACGCUGGCGUGUUCAUCCGGAGUGGCCAGACAGACGGUGGAAAGGCGUUCACGGCCAUCUUCUCCGCCAUCGUCGGUGGCCUGAGCCUUGGACAGUCGUUCUCCAACCUUGGUGCAUUCAGCAAAGGGAAGAUUGCUGGUUACAAGCUGUUGGAGGUGAUAAGGCAGAGGCCAACGAUAGUCCAAGACUCAACUGAUGGGAGGUGCCUGGAUGAAGUCCAUGGCAACAUUGAGUUCAAGGAGGUGUCCUUCAGCUAUCCGUCCCGCCCGGACGUCACGGUGUUCCGUGACUUCUCGCUCUUCUUUCCCGCGGGGAAAACGGCAGCCGUGGUCGGAGGCAGCGGUUCUGGGAAGAGCACGGUCGUGUCUCUGAUAGAACGGUUUUACGAUCCUAAUCAGGGACAAGUUUUGCUCGAUAAUGCGGACAUCAAGUCGCUGCAAUUGAAAUGGCUGAGAGAUCAGAUUGGUUUGGUGAAUCAAGAACCUGCCCUCUUUGCAACCACCAUCAUUGACAAUAUUCUUUAUGGCAAGCCUGACGCCACAAUGGCUGAGGUUGAGGCCGCGGCUUCGGCUGCCAAUGCACAUAGCUUCAUUGCUCUUCUUCCUAAUGGGUACAACACUCAGGUGGGAGAACGAGGACUUCAGCUGUCCGGUGGCCAAAAGCAACGAAUUGCCAUUGCCCGUGCAAUGUUGAAGAACCCAAAGAUCCUUCUCCUUGAUGAGGCAACUAGUGCUCUUGAUGCUGGUUCUGAGAGUAUUGUUCAAGAGGCACUUGACCGCAUAAUGAUCGGUAGGACAACUGUGGUGGUUGCGCACAGGCUCUCAACCAUACGGAGUGUUGACAUGAUCGCCGUGAUCCAGCAAGGGCAGGUUGUUGAGACCGGUACUCAUGAUGAGCUCCUUGCCAAAGGCAGCUCUGGUGCUUAUGCAGCUCUCAUCAGAUUCCAGGAGAUGGCAAGAAACCGAGACUUCCGUGGGGCAUCCACCCGGAAGAACCGGUCAUCUCGCUUGAGCAAUUCGCUGUCCACUCGGUCACUGAGCCUCAGGUCAGGAAGCUUGAGGAACCUGAGCUACUCAUACAGCACCGGUGCGGAUGGCCGCAUUGAGAUGGUCUCGAACGCCGACAAUGACCGGAAGUACCCGGCGCCAAAAGGAUACUUUUUCAAGCUCCUCAAGCUAAAUGCUCCGGAAUGGCCCUAUACGGUGCUGGGGGCGAUCGGAUCCAUCAUGUCUGGCUUCAUUGGCCCGACAUUUGCUAUCGUGAUGAGCAACAUGAUUGAAGUGUUCUAUUUCCGGGACCCCAACGCGAUGGAGCGCAAGACUAGGGAGUAUGUGUUCAUCUACAUCGGAACCGGGUUCUACGCGGUUGUCGCGUACCUGAUCCAGCACUACUUCUUCAGCAUCAUGGGCGAAAACCUGACCACCAGGGUGCGGAGGAUGAUGCUUGCAGUUAUCUUGAGGAACGACGUGGGGUGGUUCGACGAGGAGGAGAACAACUCGAGCCUGGUCGCGGCACGGCUCAACACUGAGGCCGCGGACGUGAAGUCGGCGAUAGCGGAGCGGAUAUCGGUCAUCUUGCAGAACAUGACAUCGCUCCUGGUGUCCUUCAUUGUCGGCUUCAUCAUCGAAUGGCGGGUUGCCAUCCUCAUCCUCGUCACCUUCCCUCUCCUUGUCCUCGCCAACUUUGCUCAGCAACUGUCGAUGAAGGGGUUCGCCGGCGACACGGCCAAGGCGCACGCCAAGACGAGCAUGAUCGCCGGGGAGGGCGUCAGCAACAUCCGCACCGUGGCGGCCUUCAACGCGCAGGACAAGAUCCUGUCCCUCUUCUGCAGCGAGCUGCGCGUGCCCCAGAUGCACAGCCUGCGCCGGAGCCAGAUCUCCGGCGUGCUCUACGGCCUCUCGCAGCUCUCCCUCUACGCCUCCGAGGCGCUCAUCCUCUGGUACGGCGCCCACCUCGUCCGCCACCACGUCUCCACCUUCUCCAGGGUCAUCAAGGUCUUCGUCGUGCUCGUCAUCACCGCCAACUCCGUCGCCGAGACCGUCAGCCUCGCGCCCGAGAUCAUCCGCGGCGGCGAGUCCGUCCGCUCCGUCUUCGCCGUCCUCAACAGCAGGACGCGCAUCGACCCCGAUGAGCCGGAGGCCGAGCAGGUGGAGAAGGUUCGCGGUGAGAUCGAGCUCCGCCACGUCGACUUCGCCUACCCGUCGCGCCCGGACGUGAUGGUCUUCAAGGAGUUCAGCCUGAGGAUCCGAGCUGGCCAGAGCCAGGCGCUCGUGGGAGCGAGCGGGUCAGGGAAGAGCACCGUCAUCGCUCUCAUCGAGCGUUUCUAUGAUCCCAUGGCCGGGAAGGUCAUGAUCGACGGCAAGGACAUCCGUCGGCUCAACUUGAAGUCUCUCCGUCUCAAGAUCGGCCUGGUGCAGCAGGAGCCCGUCCUGUUCGCCACCAGCAUCCUGGAGAACAUCGCCUACGGCAAGGACGGCGUGACGGAGGAGGAAGUCGUCGAGGCGGCCAAGGUGGCCAACGUGCACGGCUUCGUCGGCGCGCUCCCCGACGGUUACAGGACGCCCGUCGGCGAGCGCGGCGUGCAGCUCUCCGGCGGCCAGAAGCAGCGCAUCGCCAUCGCCCGCGCGGUGCUCAAGGACCCGGCCAUCCUCCUGCUGGACGAGGCGACGAGCGCCCUGGACGCGGAGUCCGAGUGCGUGCUCCAGGAGGCGCUGGGGCGCAUCAUGAAGGGCCGGACGACCGUGCUGGUCGCGCACCGGCUGUCGACCAUCCGCUGCGUGGACUCCAUCGCCGUGGUGCAGGACGGGCGCGUCGUGGAGCAGGGCAGCCACGGCGAUCUCGUGUCGCGGCCGGACGGCGCCUACUCGAGGCUGCUGCAGCUGCAGCUGCACCACGGGUGA
rnacentral:rRNA from 1 species